rnacentral:lncRNA from 1 species
CUUGUCGGCUCUGCUUUGGACUAACACCUAUGCUUCAACCGCAGGUUCAUGUUUGCCUGCCUACUACAGUCUGCUCAACUACGGAACCUGCAACUGGAUUCAAUCUUCUGCCUCAUGCUUCAUGGCCGCUCCGUUAUCAGGUUUGUCAGAGAUGUGCUCAAAGCAUGGUAAAAAGGGUUGCAACUUCCCUGUACUACACUGCUUCAGCCAGUCUUCUAAUGAGGAAAGGUGGAGGCAAACAAGAUAAGGGAAAAAAGGCAAUGCUCCUCCUUUUCUUUAAUAACCUAAUUCUUUGUUGAGUGUCUUCCACUGAUUUAGAAGAGUCCUGAUCUCAUUACACAGCUCAAAUGGCAUAACAGCAAACCAAACAAAACAAACUGGGUUUCUUGUUUCAUACUGCUUUUCAAACACUGAGGAAGGUACUGGGGUCCUCUCUGUGUUCAACAGAACGCUAGCCCUUUUCAACUCUCUGUGAGUGAAGAGCAACAUGUGUGCCAUACAGUUUUGUGUAUCUCAGAUAUGAGAUACUAUAUGCUGACACCCAUCAAGCAGCAUUAUAAAUGUUUGUGUUAGGCUUCUUACCCACACUGUUUUAAAAGGGGUCCAAAGGAUUAUGCACUCAGUCUGGGAUAUACUUUAACACCAAGUUUUCCAGGCCAUUGAAAAUUGAAGUCUCUCUUCUCUCCCUCCGGUAUGAAUGUCUAAAAUUGGACAUCACCACACAUACUGUAAGUCCCUUAAAUAUGAGUGCAUGAGUGCUUCAUGACAAAUGAUAAUUCCCAAAGAAUUUCUUGUUCUUACAGUGGUGCCCCAGCACCACAGUGUUUACAAAGACUGUAGGUCUUUUCCAAACAAAGCCAAAACUUAAUACUUUGAAACAUUUUGCAGUUCUGUUAUGAAUGGACACAAACAGCAAACCUCAAAACUUUUUUCACCUGUUCCAAAUGUGUACCACUAUUUCUCUCUUCCGAACUGAUUUUCUAAACCUGUGGAUAAGCAGAAACAAUGACUGGAUUUUCUCUUUUUUAAGUCUGCAUUAUCCUUUGCUAGACCUUUUUGGUUUUGAACUGUUAUUAUUGUUGCUGAAUAAAAAGAGUUGUUUUUGUUUUCAUUAAUAUUCUCCACAAUUUUGAAGUGUUCUGCUUGUAUAUCUAUAUGUUUUAUGUUCAGCUUUUACGUCAGUAAUUAUUACGUCUUUGAAUUGUCUUUAGGGAGAAAUGUAAUUUGUUGAAAUUUUCAAUAGUUUGGCGUCAGAUACUUUAACCCAAGUUGGGAAAUGGUACUCCACAGAAAGGCUUUUCAUUCCUCUUUCUUUCUGUAACCUUUUGCAAUGUUGAAUCCCAUCACCCUGUGCACACGAACACAGCACCGCUGUAAGCAUGCCGUAAUUACGUUAUGGAUGCAGAGCAAGUGAGCGGAAUGAGGUCUGUCAUGCGAGUUAAAGACUUUUACGGCAAAGCAGUGGCAUGACAUCAUUACCCACAGCGCCUUGUGAUAUCUCACAUCAGUGGUUUCAGUACGUAAGGAGAUGAAAUGUCACUAUACACGAAGGCUAAUGGCCUGUGAUAUUACUGCUCCCAAACGGGCAAGGCUCCAGCGACACCAGUGUUUUCAGGCAACCCUAUCAUAAGUGCUGCUAUUAUGGCUGUUCUAGUUGAACCACAGACGCAAACUCAAAUCUCUUGUAAUUCUGUCGGCAGAGGUGCUCUAGACAAAGCUUCCAGAGCCGAGAAAAACGAAUGCAAAGAACCCUGCUUGUGAUUUUGAGCAGCUAGCUCCUGUUAUUUGGCAGGUUUCUCAUGGUGGUGACGGGCUGCGGAUCACAAAGGUUCCCAGCUCUCUCAGUGCCAGGGAAGCAGCUGAAAUGGAAGUAAACAAGGCGAAGGGCUGAGAAUGUUUGACAUCAGCACUUAUUACUUAACAUGGACUUCAGAGUUUUCUAUUUGCACAAUAAACACAUCACUUGCUUGCUUCUUUUAUGAAUAAUACCUAGAGAGAAGAAGAGAGGUAGAGAGAGGGAGAAGGAGAGAGAGGGAAAGGGAGGGAGAUAGAGAGGGGGAGAGAAGGAGAGAGCUAAUGAGGGGGAGAGAGAGGGAAAGGGACAGAGGGAGAUAGAGAGAGGAAUGGGGAGAGAAGGAGAGGAACAGGAGGAGAGGGAGAGAGGAGCCAUUGCUCUAAAAUAAGAUUUCACCAUCCCCCCAUACCUUCCUUCACAGCACUGGCUUUUUGGAAAGCGUGCUUGAGAAGUGGGACUAAAAGCAAAUGUCUGUGCAAACAAUGUGCUACUUCAGCUAUACAGCCAUCUAAACGCUUUCUUUGUAUGUCAUGUUAUGACAUCCAAUAAAUAACAUGGAUUUUUCUCACACUAGCAGAUCAACUUACUAUAAUUUCACUUAGUGAGGAGAUCACCAAAGCCCAAAGUGCACUGUAAGGAGUUAGCUUUUCAGUUUCCAGACAAUAGGGCAUGGUACAGGUCCAACCAGGCCCAGGAGUCUACUGUAUGUGCAAGGUCUGUGCUGACUCACUCUUGCUAUAAGAGGCAUUAAACACACACACACUCACACAGUAGCAGAAUUUAUUUUUGCCAAUAUCCACCAUAUGUUCUGUAUUCUAAUUUCUUAACACCUUGUAUUUAAGUAUAGAGCACUGUACCGUUUCCAAAGAAGAAGAAGCAGUUUUGUUUGGCACACGACUAUAAUGUGGUGACAAAUCAGCAUAUUUUGGUAAUAAAUAACAGGACACUAAGAAAGGGAGAAUGCCAUCUAUCAGAGUCUUGGGUUUCUCAGCUGCUUACUAAUUUAUAAACCAUUGAAAGUUCUGAACAAUGACAACCACUAACAGAUUUCCAGACACAAUGCUUGCCUCCUCCAGUCUGCAUGUUUUGGUGGAUGGAAACAGAAUUAUCACCAUGGCAAGAAGAAUCAAUCUUAAGCUUUUAGCAGGGUUUACAAUCAGGAAUCCAAGACCAAUGUUUGCACCUGGUUCACUGAUAGAAACCACUGGGAGGAAAAUCAGGGAAGCUUGUAAGUUUGUGUUUUCCACCUUGACUAUAAUACGAAACAGGCACAUUUUGUCUUAUUAGAUUACUUGUGCAAACGAUUCUGGGUUAACAGCUUUUAAACACAGUAAGGCACAGUAAGUAGUACUGUGCUACAAAAAGCACAGUAAGGCCUCAAGGUCUUAUCACUCAUUGGUACAUGGCUAUAAAUACCAGUACUGUUCUGUAACAGGCAACAAUGUUUAUUGCAUAAUUAAACUGCUCUUCUGAACACAACACAGCUCAUUCUGUUUAUAUAACUAUAUUCAUGUCUAUAUCGAGUUCUUCCUUAUGACACCUGUAAAGAGUGGUUCAGGACGGAGUUCAUAAUUGAGUAAGAAACAAAUCUGUUUGCUUGUUUCCUCUAAAUACUUUGUUAUAGACAGAUUAAAAGAUAAGUUAGAA